GACGAACGCUGGCGGCGCGCCUAACACAUGCAAGUCGAGCGAUGAACAUUGAAUGAUCCCUUCGGGGUGAUUUCGAUCGGAUUAGCGGCGAACGGGUGAGUAACGCGUGAGGAACCUGCCUCUUACAACGGGAUAGCCUCGGGAAACCGGGAUUAAUACCGUAUAAGACUCCGACACCUCCUGGUGAUGAAGUCAAAGCGUUAGCGGUAAGAGAUGGCCUCGCGUCUGAUUAGCUAGUUGGCGGGGUAACGGCCCACCAAGGCGACGAUCAGUAACCGGCCUGAGAGGGUGAACGGUCACAUUGGAACUGAGACACGGUCCAAACUCCUACGGGAGGCAGCAGUGGGGAAUCUUGCACAAUGGGGGAAACCCUGAUGCAGCGACGCCGCGUGAGCGAUGAAGGUUUUCGAAUCGUAAAGCUCUGUCCUAUGGGAAGAUAAUGACGGUACCAUGGGAGGAAGCCCCGGCUAACUACGUGCCAGCAGCCGCGGUAAU
rnacentral:rRNA from 1 species